rnacentral:rRNA from 1 species
GACUACCGGGGUAUCUAAUCCUGUUUGAUCCCCACACUUUCGUGCCUCAGCGUCUGUACCCGUCCAGUUGAUCGCUUUCGCCACUGGUGUUCCUCCGAAUAUCUGCGAAUUUCACCUCUACACUCGGAAUUCCAUCAACCCCUCCGGGACACUAGCCCAACAGUUUCAAAAGCAGUUCCAGGGUUGAGCCCUGGGAUUUCACUUCUGACUUGUCAAGCCGCCUACGCAUUCUUUACGCCCAGUGAUUCCGAACAACGCUUGCCACAUUCGUAUUACCGCGGCUGCUGGCACGAAUUUAGCCGUGGCUUCUUCUACGGGUACGGUCAUUAUCUUCCCCGUCGAAAGAGCUUUACAACCCGAAGGCCUUCAUCACUCACGCGGCAUGGCUGGAUCAGGCUUUCGCCCAUUGUCCAAUAUUCCUCACUGCAGCCCCCCGUAGG